CUUGUAAACUAGGCAAUUACUCUCAUCGAAAGAUGGGGGAGGAAAGUCCGAGCACUACUCCGCGAGCGUAAGCGAGCGGAUAAAACGGUAGCGGGUAACGCCCGUCGCCAGCGAUGGUAGAGGUUCGAAAGAAGGAGGAAGCUAAUACCCAAACUUUUGUCAUAAUGUCAUUAGUUAAUGCUUAGUCUUGGUUGGGGCUUAUAAAACCAAGAGUGAAACGGCUAAAUCCUUACUGGGGUGCAAGAUCAGCGUUUUCGUCAUUUGGCGAAUUCGAAAAGUUAGAUCGCUAUAGGUCAAUAGUAAUAUUGAUCAUAGAUAAAUGAUUGUCCUCGACAGAACUCGGCUUAUUGUUUACAAGGAUA
rnacentral:RNase_P_RNA from 2 species